rnacentral:miRNA from 10 species
ACGACAAGUAGGGUCCUUUUGCG